rnacentral:lncRNA from 1 species
AUGGCCACCGCCUACUCGAAAAGCCACACAAGCUGGACCGCUUCGCGCCCCCGGCAUGAGGUUUCCCAACAAGCACAUCGGAGGGAAAUGACAGCGUGGGCUCUGUGGCCUGGAAUGCGAGGGUGGCAGCAGCAGACAGACUUGAUGUUCGGACAAGAGAUGGGGCUUGCCUAUGGCUCUCUCAGCUGGAAGCUUAACCAACACCUGCAGCUCCAGGUUAUCCUGGACUUAAAAGUUCUCCCCUUCAGUCUCCUGGGGACUCUUUGGGCAACUUAGAAACCUCACCUGCCUCACAAAUGUUGGUACAUCCCCAGUGGACACUGAUCAGCACUGUCCUUGGAACACUGAACCAGAAUGCCAAACUGUACAGCCAUCAGUCCACAAAUCUGGUAUGCGCGUGAACUUUGUGAUAGCUAAGAAACAGCCAUCAGAUCUGAGGGGCCCAGGGGACAUGGGCAAGGAUGGCUAAGGCAAUCCUCACUGACUCUUGUUUCUAGUUUAUCUAGAAUAGCUGUAUACAUAAUCUGGGAGAGAGGUUGUCAUCACAUAAAUGGCAAAGGGCAAGAAGAUCGGAGGAAUUCAUUCAUACAGACUGGAUUUGAGCCCUGAACAUACCUGGGAAAGCACCUGGACCUCUUAGAACCUGGAGAUCAACAAGUUGACAUACCUCAAAAGGUUAUGCUGUGAGCACUGAGUGUUAUGUCAUCAGAUUUGAUCAGUAAUGUGGAUUGCUAUCAGUAGCUGACUCUUUCUUGUGGAAUCCUCACCCCUGCCAUCCAUGACCAUCCGUUCAUACAGAAGGAAACUGAACCCAAAGAAAGUGGAAGACCACUUGAGAUGAGACGUGGGUCUUGGAUUCAAACCUAACUUGACCUGACACUGGGAGCAGAGUUUUCAGCCACUAGCCUGCCCCCUGACCCCAGUGAGAAGCAAGAGAAGGCCUGGCCAGAGAUGGCUAUAAUAGACAACCUGCAGGUAUUCAGAGGAGAGUUAGACCUCCUGCAUUGAAUAGAGCUGAGGGUACUUUCUAGGGGAGACAACACUUGUGAUGAAGCCUGGCUUGAUGGCACAUGUCUAUAAUCCCAGCACUUCCAAGAGUAGAGGCAGGAGGAUCAGGGGUUCAAGGUCAGCCUUGGCUAUGUAGGGAGUUUGAGGCCACCCUUGGUUACAUGAGCUAGUACCUCAGAAAUAAAAACAAAACACAAAGCA